GACAGAGGGUGCAAACGUUAUUCGGAAUCACUGGGCUUACAGGGUGCGUAGGCGGCUCAACAAGUCAGGUGUGAAAGCCCCCGGCUCAACCGGGGAACUGCGCUUGAAACUGUUAGGCUCGAGUCAGCUAGAGGUACACGGAACUUCCAGUGGAGCGGUGAAAUGUGUUGAUAUUGGAAGGAACACCGGAGGCGAAAGCGGUGUACUGGGGCUGGUCUGACGCUGAGGCACGAAAGCCAGGGGAGCGAACGGG
rnacentral:rRNA from 1 species